UACGGAGGAUCCAAGCGUUAUUCGGAAUUACUGGGCGUAAAGCGCACGUAGGCGGAUUGUUAAGUCGGGGGUGAAAUCCCGGGGCUCAACCCCGGAACUGCCUUCGAUACUGGCGAUCUCGAGUCCGGAAGAGGUUAGUGGAAUUCCCAGUGUAGAGGUGAAAUUCGUAGAUAUUGGGAAGAACACCAGUGGCGAAGGCGGCUAACUGGUCCGGUACUGACGCUGAGGUGCGAAAGCGUGGGGAGCAAACAGG
rnacentral:rRNA from 1 species